rnacentral:lncRNA from 1 species
GCCUCUUCAGCAAUUGUUUUUAAUUGUUGUGGCUGUUUAUUUCUAGAGGAGUCACCGUAUCUGGAUAGGUAAUUAACAAUUUCUUUUUUUUUUUCCUUUACCUUGGGUGAGGAACAUCUAAUAUUUUAAAUUUAUCUAUUUUUCAUGGCUGCAAAUUUUUAAUUUCAGCCUUGUGGAUGACUGGUGGCAUGAUAUUUGUCUUUAUAUGGGCAAAUAAAAAGGGAACAAAGACAACAAGACAAGAAUAAGUAGGUGAAUAUAUAGAGCUAGCUAGAGAUAGAAUUGAACCAGCAGGAGAAGUUAUUGGAGAGAUUACAGAAAUGUUAUAAUUUUCUUAUUAUAUUUUAACUGUAUUGGAAUUUGCCAUGAGGAUAUUUUAUUUUUUAUUUUCAGUAUUAAAA